GCCGCGGUGGCGGAAUGGUAUACGCAGAGGACUUAAAAUCCUCGGACCGUCAGGUCUUGCGAGUUCGAGUCUCGCCCGCGGCA
rnacentral:tRNA from 1 species